GUCCCUGUAGUGUAAUGAAUCUAGUGUGUGUGCAUUGGACUUCUCAUCCAAAUGUCGUGGUUUCGAAUCCCACCUGGGAUG